rnacentral:rRNA from 1 species
GAUGAACGCUGACAGAAUGCUUAACACAUGCAAGUCAACUUGAAUUUGGGUUUUUAACUUAGGUUUGGGUGGCGGACGGGUGAGUAACGCGUAAAGAACUUGCCUCACAGCUAGGGACAACAUUUGGAAACGAAUGCUAAUACCUAAUAUUAUGAUAAUAGGGCAUCCUAUAAUUAUGAAAGCUAUAAGCGCUGUGAGAGAGCUUUGCGUCCCAUUAGCUAGUUGGAGAGGUAACGGCUCACCAAGGCGAUGAUGGGUAGCCGGCCUGAGAGGGUGAUCGGCCACAAGGGGACUGAGACACGGCCCUUACGCCUACGGGAGGCAGCAGUGGGGAAUAGUGGACAAUGGACCAAGAGUGUGAUCCAGCAAUUCUGUGUGCAAGAUGAAGUUUUUCGGAAUGAAAAGUGCUUUCAGUUGGGAAGAAAGAAAUGACGGUACCAACAGAAGAAGUGACGGCUAAAUACGUG